GAAGGACUCCUGUGGAAGAUCUUGAUUCCUCCUUCUUGACUUUUGUGCAACCGAUUCCAGAAAGGAGAUCGAGCACAGAGGAGACCGAGCCCUUUAAAAAGAGUCACAUGGUGACUGAGCUCUUUGGAGAGACACCACAGACUGCAUCAACAGCUGAGACCUCAGCAAAAACACAGAUUGAAGUUAUAAAGGGCUCUGGAGUGUUUUGCC